rnacentral:rRNA from 1 species
AUUGAACGCUGGCGGCAUGCCUUACACAUGCAAGUCGAACGGUAACGGGCCUUCGGGUGCCGACGAGUGGCGAACGGGUGAGUAAUGUAUCGGAACGUACCUUUCAGUGGGGGAUAACGUAGCGAAAGUUACGCUAAUACCGCAUAUUCUGUGAGCAGGAAAGCAGGGGAACGCAAGACCUUGCGCUGAUUGAGCGGCGGAUAUCAGAUUAGCUAGUUGGUGAGGUAAAAGCUCACCAAGGCGACGAUCUGUAGCGGGUCUGAGAGGAUGAUCCGCCACACUGGAACUGAGACACGGUCCAGACUCCUACGGGAGGCAGCAGUGGGGAAUUUUGGACAAUGGGGGCAACCCUGAUCCAGCCAUGCCGCGUGAGUGAAGAAGGCCUUCGGGUUGUAAAGCUCUUUCGGCCGGGAAGAAAUCGUAUCAGCUAAUACCUGGUGCGGAUGACGGUACCGGCAUAAGAAGCACCGGCUAACUACGUGCCAGCCGCCGCGGUAAUAC